rnacentral:rRNA from 1 species
GAUGAACGCUGGCGGCGUGCCUAAUACAUGCAAGUCGAGCGAACAGACGAGGAGCUUGCUCCUCUGACGUUAGCGGCGGACGGGUGAGUAACACGUGGAUAACCUACCUAUAAGACUGGGAUAACUUCGGGAAACCGGAGCUAAUACCGGAUAAUAUAUUGAACCGCAUGGUUCAAUAGUGAAAGACGGUUUUGCUGUCACUUAUAGAUGGAUCCGCGCCGCAUUAGCUAGUUGGUAAGGUAACGGCUUACCAAGGCGACGAUGCGUAGCCGACCUGAGAGGGUGAUCGGCCACACUGGAACUGAGACACGGUCCAGACUCCUACGGGAGGCAGCAGUAGCGAAUCUUCCGCAAUGGGCGAAAGCCUGACGGAGCAACGCCGCGUGAGUGAUGAAGGUCUUCGGAUCGUAAAACUCUGUUAUUAGGGAAGAACAAAUGUGUAAGUAACUAUGCACGUCUUGACGGUACCUAAUCAGAAAGCCACGGCUAACUACGUG